rnacentral:sRNA from 1 species
GUAUUCCUUAUCUGUUAUCUAUUUUAUAUGGUUAUGUGGAGCCUAUCUUCCUGCCAUUUUCUUCAUGUUAAUGAAAACAGCAGGAAGAUAGGCCCUAAUGUAGUUGCCGCUUUAUCUC